rnacentral:rRNA from 1 species
UACGUAGGGUGCAAGCGUUGUCCGGAAUUAUUGGGCGUAAAGAGCUCGUAGGCGGUUUGUUGCGUCGGCUGUGAAAUCCCGAGGCUCAACCUCGGGUCUGCAGUCGAUACGAGCAAACUAGAGUGUUGCAGGGGAGACUGGAAUUCCUGGUGUAGCGGUGAAAUACGCAGAUAUCAGGAGGAACACCGGUGGCGAAGGCGGGUCUCUGGGCAACAACUGACGCUGAGGAGCGAAAGCGUGGGGAGCGAACAGG